rnacentral:rRNA from 1 species
UACAGAGGGUGCGAGCGUUACUCGGAAUUACUGGGCGUAAAGCGCGCGUAGGCGGCUUUGCAAGUCGGGUGUGAAAUCCCCAGGCUUAACCUGGGAACUGCAUUCGAGACUGCAUUGCUAGAGUAUGGGAGAGGGAAGUGGAAUUUCCGGUGUAGCGGUGAAAUGCGUAGAUAUCUGGAGGAACACCGGUGGCGAAGGCGACAUCCUGGACCGGUAUUGACGCUGAGGCGCGAAAGCCAGGGGAGCAAACGGG